CUAGAAUAAUCCCCCCAGUCAUCCUAAUACGUUAAAAGCUGUGCCUAAAUUAUAAUAUUUCAUUGUAAAUAUAGUAUUAUUAUUUCAGGUUUUUUCAUUUGGCCUGGCUUCCUACAUCAUCUUCAGAAAGUGGGCGUUCCAUGAGUUUUCUCAUUCUUGAGAUUGCUCAAUCUAGAGAAGAUUAAGAAGAAAUGGCCUUCACCUCAGCAUGUUCUGGAACUCAUUAAUCAAAAAGCGAUGCCAGAGUUCUUUUCCGGGAAGCAGUCCAGAGCCCAGAACCGUAGUACCUGCUGGACUUUGUGCCCUGAUGUACUGUGAGGCUGCCUGGCCCCACUUGCAGACUGUGAGUGGAGAGAAGAGCAGUUCAUCUGCUCUCCCUGGUUUACUUCUUUCCUCUCUUAGCACCAACCUCUGCUUUCUCACGGUUGACACAUUCACCCCGAGGCAGGGGCAGCUGAAACUGGUGAGGCCAGGCAGGCCGGGGCCCACCUGUGGGCCUUUCCUUGCCCUUGCUGCUCCCUCUGCCGGGAAUGCGCUUGCCCCCAGUGGUUCUCAGCCAGGUGGUUCUGCCCUGCAAGUGACAUUUGGCAAUGCCUGGAGACAUUUUCGGUUGUCAUGACUUUGGGCAGGAUGGUGCUACUGGCAUCUUGUGGGUAGAGGCCAGGGAUGUUGCUAAACACCCUACUAUGCACAGGACAGCUGCCCACUCUGCCCCACCACACACAACACAAAGUUAUCUGACCCCAAAUUUCAGCAGUGUCAAGUGUGAGAAACCCUGGUCUAAACCACCACACCAUGGAGCCUAGAGUGAUUACAACUGAAAAUGGGAGGAUUGCAUCCAGCAUCCAGGUGGAAUCUGACCCUCCUCUUGACAUAGAGGUGCAAUGGACACAACCAAUCCAAUAUCCACAUAGAAGAGGUGGCAUUGGAUUGGGAAAAGUGGACAUAAUGGACAAAGGGUAUGGGGAAAAGCAGGAAGAGAUGAGAGGUGGAGGCGUCUUCGGGACAUGGAGCUGCCCUGGAUGGUGCUUCAGAGGUAAUCACCGGACAUUGUAAAUCCUCACAGGGCCCACUUGAUGGAAUAGAGGAGAGUAUGGGCCAUGAUGUGAACCAAUGUAUAUGAGGUGCAGAGGUGCCCAAAGAUGUACUUACCAAAUCCAAUGGAUGUGUCAUGAUGAUGGGAAC
rnacentral:lncRNA from 1 species